GAUGUGUUGGAGAUUGCAGCUAGUCGUUCAAAAACUAGAUGAUAAAAUUAGCGUUAUCAAAACUCGUUAAAACCUUUUUCUGGAUGAUAACUCGUUAAAAUAUACUUUGCAAGCAAAAAUAGCUAGGUCACUAAAGUACAAUCGGAAACGUAAAUAACUUCUUAUCUAUUCAUGUCUCAUAGUAGCUGAAGCCUAAAUUGAUAACUCAUGUGGUAUCAUUGUGCUUGUGCUAUUAUCAAACAUGAUUCACGUUACAUUGAAUGUGAGAACAAAUAAAUUAUUAUUACUUUGAUAAUAUUUAAAAAAAAUGUCUUUAGAUGAAUCCACAAGAUGUGAGGACGAAGAAGGAGUGAUAGCGAUAAUUGAUGUGACGAGCGAGGUGCUGGUGGACUCGGUCACCGCGAUGUCGCUAAGCGUGAUACCACCAGACUUGAUACAAUCAGUGCACGAUGCAGGUGAGGAGGAGCCAACGAAGCUGACCCUGGCAUAUGAGCGGCUGUACGAGCUGCCCAGGACCAUUGUAGAGAGGUUUGCAGACCACAUCAAAUAUCUGGACAUCAGCCAUAAUAAAAUUACAAACCUGGAUGUAUUGGUACACUUCAAGCACCUGACUUCUCUCAUAGCAGAUGACAACCCCAUCACAGAAAACUGCUUCCUGCCACCCAUGCCUAGACUACAACUGUUAUGGCUCAACCGUUGUAAGAUAGCAUCGCUGUACCCCUGGGUGGGCAAGCUGAAGGAGUCGUGCCCCGAGCUGCGCCUGCUGUCCCUCAUGGGCAACCCUGCGGCUCCCAGUUAUUUCAACGGCGGCACAUUCUACGAUUAUUUGCAGUACAGGCUAUUUGUCAUCUCCCAGUUCCCUUCCCUAAACCAUCUGGACGACAGGAAAGUGACAGACGACCAGAGGGCUGAGGCCCAGAGGCUAUACAGGAGGCCUUUACUGGAGAGGCUGCGGCCGGCCCCCGGGGGCCUCGCGCUGCUGGGGGCCUCCGUCACUUGGAACUCGGUGCAGAACAAACUUACCUCUUUCUGGAGCAAGGAUAAACCCCAGGGAAGAAACUUGCUCAUUUAAAAGUUGGUGAAAAUGUGACAAUGAAUAUGUGUCAUAUCAUGCUCAAAUGCUAAUCACUAAAGUAUAGUAUACUAGUCGUUUAUAAAUUAAUAGUGUUAUGCAAAGACUUCUAUGUACUACUAUACACUCUUGACUUCCAAAAAACCCCAUUCCAAACAAGAAGUUUUCAAUGUGAGUUGCAGCAUUUGCUAAUAACUUGAUGGUCAAUAUCAUCUUUUUUUUUAAAUAUUAGCCAUGUUAAUCAACACUCCCCAUUAUUAAAUGAUGUUAUGGUACAAGUUAGGGCCUAAAUCAAGAAAAAUUAGCUCAAAAAAUUUGGCCUUUCUAGGCUAAUAGAAAUCUAGGAAAGUGCAUGUGAUUUCAACAUUUAAAGCAUCUAUGCAAGCGCGUGCAUUUAGACUGCAAAUACUAACUGCAUAAUGUAUUCAAAAGAAAGUAACUGGUCUCUGCAGGCCAAUUGCCCAUAGUCUUCAUAGAUUUCUAGAUAUUAGAUAACUUUCUAGAUAAUUUCCCAUAAUCACGCAAAAGAUUUUAAUACUGUAAUAAUCAAAAACGGGUCUAGAUCCCAUCUGUUUCUUGUCUAGAACUAAAAGCUAUAGAGUUUAGGUUCAACUAGGUAUAAGAUGAAAAUAUUAUCUUCCUCUAAUAUUAUGACGUCCACUUUACUAAAAUACUUUUGUGUAAAUAUUUUUUAUCAUAAUUAUUAUAUAAGUUUGUUUUUAAUCUUAACUUACAGUACUACCACUUUUAUAAGUCAUAUCGCCAAAAUUCUUUUGGCGUAGAAAAGCGCAACCGACUAAAACCGAAUGUAUACCAAUGAAAUACAGACCUUAUUGCUUGACGUUAAGAUUUUAAACACAAGAACACCAAGGACUCGUGCUGUCUCGCUCAUGACUCGUGCGUACAAAACAUGGUGCGUAGGCAACAA